AGUCUCAGUGCCUGAGGAUCAUCGUCUGUACCUGGCCUGCAGUGGCACUGUUGACUUACAGUGGAGACACCAGGUCAACGGGAUCAUAGUCAUCAAACAAGGCCAGUCGGUUGCUUACCGGAACCACCAGAAAUAUGACCUCCAGCCUGAUGGAUCUCUGGUUAUAGAAGAGCUGGAGCCAUCUGACUCAGGGGACUACCACUGCAACGACCAGCUAGUGGCAGACGUGGAGGUACUGAAAGGCCAAAAGUUUGCUGUUUCUGCUGGCAGGACCCUAUUGCUGCCCUGUAGAGUAUCUAGAAAAGCCAAGCAGAGGUGGUUCUUCAAGAAAGAUAGUCAUGCGAAACAGGAACCCAUUUCGACUCUGUUAAAAAAUGGAACCGUGAAAAGGGAGAGUGAGGACCCGCAGAACAGGUUUUCCUAUGAUGAAGAUGGAGCCCUGCAGAUCCUCAAUCUGCAGCCAAGGGACUCUGGAGAGUAUCUGUGUAAUGGGGAAACGGCAGCUAAAGUAACGGGGUUGACAGAUCACCUCAACAUCCAGAGUACCACUGCUGUUAUGUAAACAGAUGAUGUUGGGAGAGCGAACAAAGAGACAGGCCCUACAAAUGUUGUGGUGAUGAUAGCUGUCAUUGGACUAUGCGUCGUGGUGCUUUUGGCUGGUAUGCUGUACCUUUUGCUGAUAGGCAGACUGAGCAAAAGAAGAAAGAAUUGCAGUACAGUGACAGGACACAAGCAGGAAGGAACUGAACUCCAGACUAGGUGCUUGUCAAAUCUAGGGUCUGAGAUCACACAGGGAGAUGGGCAAGAUGGCAUUUCUCAUGUGGAAGACAAUGAGGUUCAGUAUGCAUCUCUGGGUCGGCAGAACUGGAGGGAAAGAUCGAGG